rnacentral:rRNA from 1 species
AACGAACGCUGGCGGCAUGCCUAACACAUGCAAGUCGAACGAGACCUUCGGGUCUAGUGGCGCACGGGUGCGUAACGCGUGGGAACCUGCCCUUAGGUUCGGAAUAACUCCCCGAAAGGGGUGCUAAUACCGGAUAAUGUCUUCGGACCAAAGAUUUAUCGCCCUUGGAUGGGCCCGCGUUGGAUUAGCUAGUUGGUAGGGUAAAAGCCUACCAAGGCGACGAUCCAUAGCUGGUCUGAGAGGAUGAUCAGCCACACUGGGACUGAGACACGGCCCAGACUCCUACGGGAAGCAGCAGUGGGGAAUAUUGGACAAUGGGCGAAAGCCUGAUCCAGCAAUGCCGCGUGAGUGAUGAAGGCCUUAGGGUUGUAAAGCUCUUUUACCCGGGAUGAUAAUGACAGUACCGGGAGAAUAAGCUCCGGCUAACUCCGUG